rnacentral:rRNA from 1 species
GAUGAACGCUGGCGGCGUGCCUAAUACAUGCAAGUCGAGCGAACAGACGAGGAGCUUGCUCCUCUGACGUUAGCGUCGGACGGGUGAGUAACACGUGGUUAACCUACCUAUAAGACUGGGAUAACUUCGGGAAACCGGAGCUAAUACCGGAUAAUAUAUUGAACCGCAUGGUUCAAUAGUGAAAGACGGUUUUGCUGUCACUUAUAGAUGGAUCCGCGCCGCAUUAGCUAGUUGGUAAGGUAACGGCUUACCAAGGCGACGAUGCGUAGCCGACCUGAGAGGGUGAUCGGCCACACUGGAACUGAGACACGGUCCAGACUCCUACGGGAGGCAGCAGUAGGGAAUCUUCCGCAAUGGGCGAAAGCCUGACGGAGCAACGCCGCGUGAGUGAUGAAGGUCUUCGGAUCGUAAAACUCUGUUAUUAGGGAAGAACAAAUGUGUAAGUAACUAUGCACGUCUUGACGGUACCUAAUCAGAAAGCCACGGCUAACUACGUG